GGCGCAGGGCUUGUACGGCCAGCUCCUAUUGAACUCCCCCAGGACCGGAAGGUAGCAAGGGUAAAUGGUUGUAGCGGCGCGAUAUAAGUUCCUGCACUUUU
rnacentral:SRP_RNA from 1 species